rnacentral:rRNA from 1 species
ACUCAAAUGAAUUGACGGGGACCCGCACAAGCGGUGGAGCGUGUUGUUUAAUUCGAUGGUAAGCGAAGAACCUUACCAAGGCUUGACAUCUUGGGAAUUUUGUCGAAAGACGAGAGUGCCUUCGGGAACCCAAAGACAGGUGUUGCAUGGCCGUCGUCAGCUCGUGUCGUGAGAUGUUUGGUUAAGUCCAUCAACGAGCGCAACCCCUAUGGUUAGUUGAAUUUUUCUAACCAGACUGCCCCGGUAACGGGGAGGAAGGGGGGGAUGAUGUCAGGUCAGUAUUACCCUUACGCCUUGGGCGACAAACGCGCUACAAUGGCCGGUACAAAGGGCUGCCAAGUCGCGAGACGGAGCAAAUCCCAUCAAAGCCGGUCCCAGUUCGGAUAGCAGGCUGAAACUCGCCUGCUUGAAGUCGGAAUCGCUAGUAAUCGCAGAUCAGAAUGCUGCGGUGAAUACGUUCCCGGGUCUUGUACACACCGCCCGU